rnacentral:rRNA from 1 species
GUAGGUGGCAAGCGUUGUCCGGAAUUAUUGGGCGUAAAGCGCGCGCAGGCGGUUCUUUAAGUCUGAUGUGAAAGCCCACGGCUCAACCGUGGAGGGUCAUUGGAAACUGGAGAACUUGAGUACAGAAGAGGAAAGCGGAAUUCCACGCGUAGCGGUGAAAUGCGUAGAGAUGUGGAGGAACACCAGUGGCGAAGGCGGCUUUCUGGUCUGUAACUGACGCUGAGGCGCGAAAGCGUGGGGAGCAAACAGGGAUUAGAUACCCUGGUAAUACACGCCGUAAACGAUGAGUGCUAAGUGUUAGGGGGUUUCCGCCCCCUUAGUGCUGCAGCUAACGCAUUAAGCACUCCGCCUGGGGAUACGGCCGCAAGGCUG